rnacentral:rRNA from 1 species
GACGAACGCUGGCGGCGUGCUUAACACAUGCAAGUCGAACGGUGAACCUGGAGCUUGCUCCGGGGGAUCAGUGGCGAACGGGUGAGUAACACGUGAGUAACCUGCCCCAGACUCUGGGAUAACUUCGGGAAAUCCGAGGCUAAUACCGGAUAUGCGACGAGAGGGCAUCUUCAUCGUCGGGAAAGAAUUUCGGUCUGGGAUGGACUCGCGGCCUAUCAGCUUGUUGGUGGGGUAAUGGCCUACCAAGGCGACGACGGGUAGCCGGCCUGAGAGGGCGACCGGCCACACUGGAACUGAGACACGGUCCAGACUCCUACGGGAGGCAGCAGUGGGGAAUAUUGCACAAUGGGCGCAAGCCUGAUGCAGCAACGCCGCGUGGGGGCAUGAAGGCCUUCGGGUUGU